CCGCCCAGAGGUAAACGGGUGGAUCCGCAAAGUCGGCCCGCGGAAUUCAGCUCGGCGCGCGGUUCGGGGCUGGCGUGGUUCGGGAUCCCUGGGACCCUUCCGCGUCGUCGCACCGGACCUCGCCGUGUGCACUUUCCGCGGGCAGAGCGYCACGACCGGCUUCGCGGCGGUCAUAAGCCCGGGGGGAAGGUAGGCGUACGCUUCGGCGCGCGCUGUUAUAGACCCCCGUGGUGCACCGUCGUGGGGCCGAGGAACGACCGUCGCCUUAAGGCUCCCGGUUUUCCUGGGGAGUUCGACUGGCAGGGACUGGGCAACCGUGCCUGCCGACCGCUCUCUCUAGGACCGAUCGGGGCGGCCGGGGUGGCAUUGGGUCUGUGGCGAAUCUGUCGGCAUUCCACCCGA
rnacentral:rRNA from 1 species